rnacentral:rRNA from 1 species
GACGAACGCUGGCGGCGUGCUUAACACAUGCAAGUCGAACGGUGAUGCUCCAGCUUGCUGGAGUGGAUCAGUGGCGAACGGGUGAGUAACACGUGAGCAACCUGCCCCAGACUCUGGAAUAAGCGCUGGAAACGGCGUCUAAUACUGGAUACGAAACUGGCCCGCAUGGGCAUGGUUUGGAAAGUUUUUCGGUUUGGGAUGGGCUCGCGGCCUAUCAGCUUGUUGGUGAGGUAAUGGCUCACCAAGGCGACGACGGGUAGCCGGCCUGAGAGGGCGAACGGCCACACUGGGACUGAGACACGGCCCAGACGCCUACGGGAGGCAGCAGUGGGGAAUAUUGCACAAUGGGCGAAAGCCUGAUGCAGCGACGCCGCGUGAGGGAUGACGGCCUUCGGGUUGUAAACCUCUUUCAGCAGGGAAGAAGCGAAAGUGACGGUACCUGCAGAAGAAGCACCGGCUAACUACGUG